GCCUGGGUGGCUCAGUCGGUUGAGCGUCUGACUUCAGCUCAGGUCAUGAUCUCAUGGUUUGUGAGUUCAAGCCCCCCAUCGGGCU
rnacentral:tRNA from 1 species